GGGCCGCGGUGUUGACGCAGAAACCCGGGAUUACGUCCAGUGACGACGACGUAGCAGAACCGGCUCUUUCAAAAAGAAACUGCUCAUUUCUAUCCGCGGGUUUUUAAGUGUGGUUAGGUUAUUUGAGCACACGUGGCCGGGACGUGAGCUCUGCUCUUCGGUGAGUCGGACUGUGAGUUAACCUUCACUUUUACAUCUAACACUGUGUGACUAGACUUUAAACUGUGCACAGGAAAGAGCAUUACAGAUGAAUGGAAAAUGUUAAAGUGGUAGCACAGCAUUUUAGCUGUCCAAGUGUUUGAAGUUAAAGUCACAAAAUGCAGAGCCUGCCACAGGGGCGGCCAGAGCCAAGGGGCCAUCAUCAUAAUAUUAUUAUUAUUGUAUUAAAAUCAUAUUUCCCACGCUAAACUAAAGUGAGAAUCAGAGUCAGAAUCACUUUUAUUGGCCAGGUAUGUGUGCACAUACAAGGGAUGUUGCUCUCAAUGUACAAUCCCAGACUCACAGUGUAAAUAAACAGAAGUUCAACAAAAAAGACAUAGACUCAUUUGUACAGUUAUACAUAUCUAUAAACAAACAUUUGUAUACAGUAGACAGUAGUGCAAUGGUGCAGAGUGCAAAGGAUGCUGAAAUAAAUAUUUCACUUAAAGGUAUCUUGUACAUGGGUGGAUAUGACAGUAUAGAAACUGACUAUUCAGCAAUGGAAAAUAAGUAAUGGACGGUUUCAUUAAGAGUACUAGGGUUAUUGUACAAUAAAAUUAUACAGAAAACAGUGUAUUAUAAUGGCAAACAGAAAUAUUGAAUCUAAUGGAAUGAUUCAAGAUUUAAAAUACAAUUGUAGAUAUUUUUGCAUUGAUAAAAGUAAGGAAAUAUCCAUACAUAUAUAUUUUUUGCCACAGUAUUAUCAGUGUAAUACCAAGAAAUCUUGCAAAAGGCUAAUGCUAGUUGGGGUGGGGCCUGCUGCUGCAGCGAGGACUCUGAGUUUGAGUACAUGGGGGCCAGCUCUACCAGGUGAGCUAUACAGGCGUCCAAACUGCUUCUACCUGACAGGGUUUUUCAUUAGAGGCUGGUCAGACAGCCGUAUUCACACUGACCUGCAUUUCUUCGGAUUGUGGUAGAAAGCCUCUACAAGUAAGUACAUGAAGACUUCAUAAAGAAAGCAAUGGAUUGAGCAGGAGCUCUGCCCCGACCGCAAGCUCACUUACAGGCAGCCAAGCGGAGAGAGUUGAUGACGGAGCACUGUGCACGAAAGCUUUGUGAGUACAUCACCUGUACCUGUCGCUGUUUUCAACAUGUUCUUCUUCCUGUGGCAUUUAAUGACAGACUAGACCAUUUGUAGGCGUAUAUGCUUCCAGUUAGGACCAUAAGAGUUGCAUCCCCGGUACCCACUGUACUGCAGAGUAGUGUCCAUAGACAGUUUUCUGAGUUGAUUUUCACUCCCAAAGUGUAAUUUUAACACUUUCUUUCUUGUAAAUGUUGUUCAGUGUUGGAGUUAUUUCACAGAGUUGAUAACAUCAGUGUUGGAAAACGCUCUCUGGUGUUAGCCCAACUCCGCUUAGAUGUAAUUACGGAAGAAACGCAUUUCACUUUUUUGGUUGGAGACAAGUUGGCACCAUUUCCCUCCACUCGUGCAGCUCUACACGCCGUAGUCAUGCUACAGUUUGGAGGAUCAUCUCCCGCAUCCAGCAGGAUCAACAACCACACCUCCUCACUGUUAAGGCUCUUAUACACUCGCCGUUUCCCAACCUGUAGCGCGACAAUGUGACGUCACGGGAGCGCCGUAACUAUUUAUACUUGCGUGUGGUGGUCGCGACACUAGUUACAGUCUUCUCCUGAACAGAGGUGUCGCAACUGAGGAAAGGCUACCGACUUUACUAUUUCUACGCACUACAAGAAGAAGAAAAAGGUAAACAAUGGCAGACCUCUUUUUUGUUCUCCAAAUCAGUCGCGGAGGUUCUACCAAAUUUUCCGGCAUAUGGCCUCCUCUUUUCCAACAUUGCGAUAAAUCGCCAUGAAUUUUGGCACCUCUGGGCAUCUGUAUUCCUUCAUUGAAGGAUCGUACAGAUGCCUGUAGAGGCGCACUUUCUCGGAAGCUUGCCCUCGAACUCGUCCAUCUUCCUGUUUCUGCUUUGAGAUCUACUUCACAUUGUCGCGCGACAGGUUCGGAACGGCAAGUGUAUAAGAGGCUUUAGGCAUCUGAAGAACUGGAUCGACAGCUUCUACAUCACCAUGGAUAAGCAUCUCAUUUCAUGCCAGGCAAACCACUCCCUCAAGCCAUUUGAUGAACAUUUAAAAGCACAUUUUGCCUUUUAAUUCGUAUGAUUUAUAUGACUAUAUGAUAAAAAAAAAAAACUACUUGUUUCAUGGGUGACCAUCACUUGUGCCUCAAUAUAAUAUCUUGUGUACACAAUACCAGAAAAAUAAUUGUCUUGAGGGUUCCAUAUCACCUGUUACUGUACAAACAAUGUGUAUAUUAGACACAUUACAUGGGGUUGGGGAUAGCUGCAGCAAAACACAAGAGAGUGUAUGAUGUCCUCUAGUGUGUGACAAAUUAAACUGCACGAGGGCACUCAACGAAGAGGAAAAAAUAGUUUUAUUUCAAGUAGAGAACAAUCUAUUAUCAACUUUAGGAAUAAAGUUUAAAGCUUCUAAUUGUCUCUGGUAGGUUUCCCUUUAUAGCCCCAUUACAUAUUUAGAAUAUGUUUAUAUAUUUAUAAUUUUCCAUUUACCACAUGCAUACAGAUGGUUACAUUAAAAAAAGAGCCAGUUUCAAAAGGUAGAAUAAUUCAAGACCAAAAUAUGAUAAAAUAUGUCACCAAUAAAAGAGAUAUUUAAAAACAAAUGAAAAAAAA